rnacentral:rRNA from 1 species
CCCUACNNNNNNCCGAGCGAGACUAAAUGCAGUCGAGCGGAGAUGAGGUGCUUGCACCUUAUCUUAGCGGCGGACGGGUGAGUAAUGCUUAGGAAUCUGCCUAUUAGUGGGGGACAACAUUCCGAAAGGAAUGCUAAUACCGCAUACGUCCUACGGGAGAAAGCAGGGGAUCUUCGGACCUUGCGCUAAUAGAUGAGCCUAAGUCGGAUUAGCUAGUUGGUGGGGUAAAGGCCUACCAAGGCGACGAUCUGUAGCGGGUCUGAGAGGAUGAUCCGCCACACUGGGACUGAGACACGGCCCAGACUCCUACGGGAGGCAGCAGUGGGGAAUAUUGGACAAUGGGGGGAACCCUGAUCCAGCCAUGCCGCGUGUGUGAAGAAGGCCUUAUGGUUGUAAAGCACUUUAAGCGAGGAGGAGGCUACUGAGACUAAUACUCUUGGAUAGUGGACGUUACUCGCAGAAUAAGCACCGGCUAACUCUGUGCCAACACCGNCGGUAAUAA